rnacentral:lncRNA from 1 species
GGAGAGGCGCGCACGAGCGGACCCCGACACGCAGGGACACGCAGCACCAGCCGAGAUACGACCGAGGCACGCACGCGCAGGCACGCACACACACACACUCCAGUCUCCCUCUCCCGGCCGAGGCUGUGCGGCCCACGCUCUCCACCCCUCUCCGACCCCCAGCCGCGGGAGCCGAGCAGGGAGGUACCAGGCUAGGCCCUCCCCAUGCCCACCACUGCCGUGACUCUGGGUGCUGGGGUCCCAGCAGCCAGGCCCAAGAGAACCCCAGGGGCUGGCGGUGGCACCAAAAAAACACGUCCAGACCGUGGUUUCGCCUUGGCCUCCGCGCUGGAGGCGGAUAGGUGUCUGGAGUAACAGGACAUGUAUCCCAGGGACUGACCAGCAGGGAUGGGAAGGACCAUGGGGUGGAACUUACAAGGACACAGUGGCUUGAAAGGGGACAGAAGACAGGAAUUCGAGAGAGACUCGAAGCACCCACGCCACCUGGGCUUCUUGGAGGAAGAGGCAUGGGAGUGGGAGAUGGUUGGUUGAGGCCCUGUCCAGUGGGACCACACUGGGCCUGUUACCCAUAUACCCUACCCAGUGAGGGGCCCAGACUCCAGGACCCAGGACACACCCCCAGCAGGACUGGAGGGUCCCACUGGUGAGACAGGAGCUCUUGAGUCUUGGGGUCUUGGUGAGGCCCAGACGAGAGGUGGCUGGUUGCAGGGGGCGUCCUGAGGGACAGUGGCUCCCAGGGCAGAUUUCCCCUGCUUGGGUGGGGCUGGGCCAGCAGUGUCCCCUGGACAGGAGAACCCUACCCCGGCCCUCCCUCGGAGUAGCCAUGGCCCUCUUCCAGGGCCUCCUCAGCUCAGAGCUGGGAGGUGGGGGACGUGGGGGGGUGUCUGCCAGGAUGUCUCCUCCUUCCCCACCCUCUCCUGGAGGAUGCGCCGCGGGAGAACGGAUGGGGCUCCACAGGCUUCCUUCCUCCCUUUCAGGCAGGUGAGACACCGCGGGGCCGUGCGGACGGCCAGCACUCGACUUUGCCUAAAAAAGGAAGCAGCAGGCUGAGGCUGAGGAGCUGGCGGCAGGAACAAGGGAGAGCUGUGUCCCCGCCGGCGCCCCCCACCCCCCCUGCCGGGGAUCUUGGCAGUGGAGGUGCUGGCUGCGCUCCACAGACCUCAGACCUCGGCUGGGACCAGAAAUGCCUGGUGCUUCCGCCUGGGCCCGGUGGGGGGACUUUGGGUCCCCAGAGUGCAAGCUGUACCACUUCGAGGGGCCUCGCCAGGCCCCCCAGCCCCCAGUACACAGGGGCUGCCGUGGAGAUGACGCUGAAGGCCGCAGCCGCUGGAGGACCUGGGGUCUGACCGGAAGCUGGCUGCAGACCCUGCGGAGGCACGUCCAGGUAGUCAGGCAGGGAGCUGGGCCGAGGGUCCCCCACCCUGGGGAGGCUCACAGCCAGUGGCCCGCUUGUCCCCCACCCUCGCCCAGCAGGCGGGCCACAGUCACACCUCAGCCAGCCUUGCAGGGCUGACGGGGAAGUUUCCCUCACUUCUGGAAAAAGUGAGCGGGUCUUCUUGGCUGUGACUCAGGCCCUCAAGGAAGCGGCCGCCCUCCUCCCUUCAGCUCGCCAUCAGCGGGAGAAGGCACAGGAGGCCUGGCCUCCACCCAGCCUGGGCCGAGCUCAGCCACCUGCCUUGCUCCCGGCUCUGCCUGGAGUCCCUCCAGCUAGGAGACCCUCCCCAUCAGCUCUCCCCGUGCCCCUCAGUCUUCAGGACUCAUUCUUGUGUCCUGCCCUCCCCCCGCUGUCUCCACCCCGGAGGAGGGACGUGGACAGAGGGUCCCAGAGAGCAUGGGGUCAGCCAGAGGUGCAGUGUCAGGGCCCGGGCCGGACUUGAGGCAGACACCGGAGGAAGCACAAAUAUAACAGCCGGAACCCUCCACUCUCCAGGGAGAAGGGCCCGGGGUAAGAGGCAGAGGCAAGGACGGGUCAGGCCAGAUCACAGUGGGUGCUGGCCCCGAGCCCUCUGCCUCCUGCAGGCACAGCCCCUGUCUGAUCCUGGUGGCCUGGGGCCCCAUGGGGUGGGGAGCAGCCUGGUUUGGCUGCGGCCACCCCGCCCCCACGGUCUGGGCCUGGGCUGUGGGAGUCCCUGUGCCUCACUUCCCGGAGCCAGCCUGCCCUGCCGGUCUGUCUGCAGGCAGGUGGAGAGAGUUCCAGGAAGCUGGGGAGGCUGCUGUCACCCGGGCACCGCCCCUGCCCCCACCCGCCUUUGGGAAUGCUCCCUCCUCCGCACAAUCCAGGCUUCUGCAGAAGAUGAAGGGCCUUUUGUCCCCAGCUGGCUGUGGUCAUGUUUGACCCUGGGUAAAAGGGCAACUCCUGAGGCCUCUGACCCCACCCCUGACCCGAGCUGAGGGCAGGACGCCCAGGCCCGCACCCGGCGCCUUUUGUUGCUGUUUUCACGUAUCUCACAAACGUACUCAAGCACACACAGGAGCAGAUGGACGGGGCGGUGAGGGGCAGCAGUGGUGAGGGGCAGCGGCGGUGAGGGGCAGCGGCGGUGAGGGGCAGCGGUGCGGGCCUGAGGCACUGCUCUGGGGUGUGCCUGAGCCCACCCCACAACAGUAAGUGGGGCAGAGCAGGGGUCACCAAGAGAGCAGGGCCCACGCAGCUCCUAGACUCAACCUGCUCACUGGGGUCAAGGACAGGUCUUGGGGGCCUCGGGGGUCACUUUUCACUUCCCAGGAGCCCAGGCCUGCCCCUCUGGCCCCAGAGCUGACCCCCCUCAGUCCCCCGUGCCAGCAGCAGCUGGGGUGGCGGGUAGACACCUGGCGGGUAGCAGCCUGGGUAGGGGUGGGAGCUGCACCAUCUGCGUCUGUCCAUCCAUCCCUCGUCUGUGUGCUGGGCACAGCCGCGCCCCAGCCUCAGUGCUGGGGACACACAGGCGCCGGGCCAGCACUGCCAGGCUAGGAGGGUGGGCGGUGAACAGCUAGGAAAGAUACGGUCUACUUGUUUUCCCUGUGAGAACAGGGGGUCACUGGGGACUCGCACGCAAGGGGUACCCGAGGAAGAGCCUUCCAGGCAGAGAGAAGGAACCGCGAGUGCUGAGAGCAGGGUGGGGUGGGCAGGAGGGGCCUGCGCCAGGACUGCAGGGGCAGAGCAGGCUGGGGGCCUUCGGGAGGGGUGGCCGGGUGGAGGGUGUUGCCGGCCUCGACAGGGGCAGGAGGUUCGUCACAGCGAGGACAGAGCCCGGCCCGGUGGGAGCCGGAGAGCAGCAGGCCUGAAUGACCCAGGGUUUCCUAAUAGCAGGGCCCCUUCCUUGUGUGGGUCCCCUCACUUUGCCUCUCUGCUGGGACAUCCUUCCCUGAAAGGGAGAGGAGGACCACAUGCUGCCCCUUCCCCAGACACAGUCCAGACAGGCCCAGGCCACAGCCCUGGGCAGACGCAAAACUCCCAGGGGCCUGGACUGGGAUAGGGAGGAGGCAGCAGGGAGGGACUGACCUAUGUCCACACACCACAAGGGACUCCCAGAGGCGGGUGGGGCGGAGCUGGGAGCAGGGGCCUUAGCCCUCAGACCAGCCCACUCACCCUGGGGAGUUCCUGCCCCACAGCCUGCCCAGCUUACAGGCCUGGGGGCAGGGGCAGGCCAGCACAGGCCGGAGGGACAGAGGGAGCCACAUCUGAGGGGUCCCCCAGCUGCUCACACCGUCUGAGGCUGUGCUUGCCAACAACUCUGCUCCCAGGAAAUAUUUUGCAAAUCAGGAAAUGACACCGGGCAAGGUGGGAAGCCCACUGCAUCCAGUGGGGUGGGGCCCCUUACUGCCUCCCCUGCUCCGGCAUGACGUGUGACAGGGACGCAGAUGGGACACACACAGCCACACACACACACUCCGGGCUCCCAUUUGGGCAGGGCAGGGGCCUCAGCCACCGGGAAAGAACGCCAAGCAGAGGUCCCCACAGCCACCCUGCAGCUCGGCUGCACCCAAGGAGUUCAGGCCCCUGGGCCAGUGGAGAGCUGUGGUAGAGACUGCAGGAAGAGGGAGGCUGCUCCUGGCCCUCAGGCUGGGGGAAGGGGCUCUGGGGGAAGGGGUGUAGAGGCACCCUCAGGGUGGGGGCGGGCCUGGGGACCCAGGGUCCUGAAGUGGAGGGGUUUCGGUCAGGGACACCAUGCUGGGCAAAAGUUGGGAGAGAUUCAUGGGGUCCAGGUGGGGUCCUGCCCCUGCAGGGGCUAGAAGGGCUGGGCAAAGGCCAACUGUAUACCUGGGGCCUUGAGGAGGGGAACCCUGGCUGGGGGCCCCACCUCCCCCUCAUUUCAUGCCCCCCUCCUGGCUUCCCAGAUGGUGGCCGAUAAGGGAGCUGCUUAGGAUCCAUGGAAGGGGCCAGGCAAGAACCCGGGGGAAGAACCCAGGGGCCUCAACGCAGGGCCCGUUCUGUCCUAGGGGCCGGCACUCGGGCUCUGGCCUUCCUGAAUCGCCCCUUCCUUGCUUCUCUUCCGCCGGCCAGGCCUCUGCUCUCCGGGGCUACGGCCUCCCACAGGCACGUUCCUACAUCCCUCUGUGAACCGCCCACAGGCCCCCCCACAGGUGUUCCUCUGUGAGCUGGUCGGGCGGCCGGGGCCGGGGCCGGGCUUCGCUGCUCCGUGCCUUCCACCUCCCUGGCGGUGCGGGGCCUCAGGGUGGGCCUGGGAAGCUGGAAACACCUUUGGAAACAGCCGCCUGAGGCAGCUGUGGACAGAAGACCCUGCCCAGCAGCCAAGGGAGCUGGCCUCUCCGCUCAGCCUCCCCACCCCCACCAGGCCCAGCUGUUGUUUUCACGGCUCCGGGACCAGGCGGAUCCUCAGCCAAGAGCUUCCCAGGAGAGCCCUCAUCUUCAACCCCUAGUGGCGACCAGAGCCAGCCCGGGCAGGAGGGGAAGGAAGGCGGCCGCGGCCCCGGGGAAGCCAUCCUGGCAGCUUGGCCACUGGCCCGGCUCCUGUCUGACCAGGAAAGGCAUCAAAGCCGGACUCGGAUGGAGGCUGGAAAACCCCGAGACUUCUGCUGGACUCGACCCAGCCACACACCAGGCUGUGCUCAAGGCCACGGAAUGAGCCUUGACCCUGGCCCCAGACGGAGCCCAGACCUUGCUGGUCACAGGCUGAGCCCUGCUGGCAAUAUGAUGUACUAGAUCCCUUAAAAGGCCUUCCAGCAACAACCAACUUCUGGAUGAAUUACUAUGAGCGUACAUUUUUAAUAGACUGUUGUGUUUCCAAGAAAGUAAAUAUCUCCGAGUCUCCCCCAAAAUUAAACAGCAAAAAUAAAUAAGGCCAGGUGGGGUGGCUCAUGCCUGUAAUCCCAACACUUUAGGAGGCUGAGGCGAGAGGAUUGCUUGUGCCUAGGAGUUCGAGACCAGCCUGGGCAACAUGAUGAGACCCCGUCUCUACAAAAAAAUUUAAAAUUAGCUGGGUGUGGUGGUGCACUCUAGUCACAGCUACUUGGGAGGCUGAGGUUAUAGGUGCCCACCACCACGCCCAGCUAAUUUUUUUUUUUUUUUUUUUUGAGACGGAGCCUCGCUCUUUCGCCCAAGCUAGAGUGCAGUGGCGUGAUCUUGGCUCACUGCAAGCUUUGCCUCCCAGGUUCACGCCAUUCUCCUGCCUCAGCCUCCCGAGUAGCUGGUACUACAGGUGCCCGCCACCAAGCCCAGCUAAUUUCUGUAUUUUUUAGUAGAGACGGGGUUUCACCGUGUUAGCCAGGAUGAUCUGGAUCUCCUGAGCUGGUGAUCCGCCCUCCUCGGCUUCCCAAAGUGCUGGGAUUACAGGCGUGAGCCACCGUGCCUGGCCUGGAUAUGUUAACAUAAUAAUUUAAGAUAAAAUGAAUGAGUUAAUCAGCAGAUUAGACGGAAGGGAGUAAUUUGAUGAGGGGGUAAAAGAAAAUGGUGAGGAUAUGGAGAAGGAAUUCGUGGUGAAACUGGACACAAUUGUUGAGGGAUUUCCAGAGCUGAUGAACGUUGUGGACCUGUGGCUUACACCAAACAGGGUGGGUGUGAGCUCGGCACAGCUAGGACGCGCUGGUGAGACCAAGGAACACCAAAGUCAGUGAGGAGAUCUUAGUGUCUCCCGGAGAGAGCCGACCGAGGCUGGCGCAUGUCUGAAUGCGAGCCUGGCCAUAGGCUGAGCCCGGCUGCCGCCACCCCUGGGCUUCUGGAACCCUGGGCUUGGCCGAGCGUGGGUGUCUCCCCUGGGAGCCCCAGAGCCCUGGACGAUGGAGGCCGGGACCUGGGCAGGCGCGGGAGGCCUUGGGCUGGGGCCUGCGCCCCUCCUCUGAGGGCUGCCUGCCGGGCUCUGCCCUGCCCUGCCCUUCCCUCCCCUCUCUUCCCCUCCCCUCUCCUCUCUUUCCCUCACCUCCCCUCUCUUUGCCUCCCC